rnacentral:tRNA from 1 species
UAAAGAGUGCCUGAUAAAAGGAUUAUUUUGAUAGAAUAAAAAAUGUGAAAUUCACCUCUUUAA